AGAGCAUCAAGCUCUGACUGCAUUGUUCCAGCCCAUGUCUAUCUGAGGGGGAUUGCCUUCACUCCCAGUGCCAAAGUUCUGCAACUGGUGUGAGUUAGUACUUAUGAAGUUAGCAAAUAUGCCUGAAAUGAAAGUCACUGGGAGAGAAUGGGUACUGGCCAACCUAAAAGUCUCUGGAUACUACACGGUUAACUAUGAUGAAGCCAACUGGGAAAGUCUCAUCAACGUACUGAACACCAUUCCUCAGUCUAUUCCCAGUUAUCAACGGAGCUCAAUUGGUGGAUGAUCCUUUUAACCUUUCAAGGCUUACCUCAAAAACAAGUAGAACCACUUUACAUGCUAUAUGGGUAUCACUGAC
rnacentral:lncRNA from 1 species